rnacentral:rRNA from 1 species
GAUGAACGCUGGCGGCGUGCUUAACACAUGCAAGUCGAACGGAAAGGCUCCUGCUUGCAGGGGUACUCGAGUGGCGAACGUGUGAGUAACAAGUGGGUGAUCUGCCCUGCACUUCGGGAUAAGCCUGGGAAACUGGGUCUAAUACCGGAUAGGUCGUUGGUUUGGAUGCCAUUGUGGAAAGUUUUUCGGUGUGGGAUGAGCUCGCGGCCUAUCAGCUUGUUGGUGGGGUAAUGGCCUACCAAGGCGUCGACGGGUAGCCGGCCUGAGAGGGUGUACGGCCCCAUUGGGUCUGAGAUGCGGCCCAGACUCGUAUGGGAGGCAGGGGUGGAGAAGGUUGUACAACGGGAGCAAGCCUGAUGCAGCGAAGCCGCGUGGGGGAUGACGGCCAUCGGGUUGUAAAGUCCUUUCGUAAGAGACGAAGAGCAAGUGACGGUACCUGGAGAAGAAGCACCGGCUAACUACGUG